GACGAACGCUGGCGGCGUGCUUAACACAUGCAAGUCGAACGGAAAGGCCCUGCUUUUGUGGGGUGCUCGAAUGGCGAACGGGUGAGUAACACGUGAGUAACCUGCCCUUGACUUUGGGAUAACUUCAGGAAACUGGGGCUAAUACCGGAUAGGAGCUCCUGCUGCAUGGUGGGGGUUGGAAAGUUUCGGCGGUUGGGGAUGGACUCGCGGCUUAUCAGCUUGUUGGUGGGGUAGUGGCUUACCAAGGCUUUGACGGGUAGCCGGCCUGAGAGGGUGACCGGCCACAUUGGGACUGAGAGACGGCCCAGACUCCUACGGGAGGCAGCAGUGGGGAAUAUUGCACAAUGGGCGGAAGCCUGAUGCAGCAACGCCGCGUGCGGGAUGACGGCCUUCGGGUUGUAAACCGCUUUCGCCUGUGACGAAGCGUGAGUGACGGUAAUGGGUAAAGAAGCACCGGCUAACUACGUG
rnacentral:rRNA from 1 species